rnacentral:rRNA from 1 species
AACGCUGGCGGCGUGCUUAACACAUGCAAGUCGAUCGGUAACAGGUGUAGCAAUACAUGCUGACGAGAGGCGGACGGGUGAGGAAUAUUUGGGAAUCUGCCCAUCAGCGGGGGACAACCCGGGGAAACUCGGGCUAAUACCGCAUACGCUCUACGGAGGAAAGCCGGGGACCGCAAGGCCUGGCGCUGAUGGAUGAGCCCAAAUCGGAUUAGCUAGUUGGCGGGGUAACGGCCCACCAAGGCGACGAUCCGUAGCUGGUCUGAGAGGACGAUCAGCCACACCGGAACUGAGACACGGUCCGGACUCCUACGGGAGGCAGCAGUGGGGAAUAUUGGACAAUGGGGGAAACCCUGAUCCAGCGACGCCGCGUGGGUGAAGAAGGCCUGCGGGUUGUAAAGCCCUUUCGGUAGGGACGAAAACUCUUGCCCUAACAAGGCAGGAGCUUGACUUAACCUACAUAAGAAGCACCGGCUAACUCUGUGCCAGCAGCCGCGGUAAUACAGAGGGUGCGAGCGUUAAUCGGAAUUACUGGGCGUAAAGCGCACGUAGGCGGCUUUGUAAGUCGGAUGUGAAAUCCCCGGGCUCAACCUGGGAACUGCACCCGAAACUACAUUGCUAGAGUAUGGGAGAGGGAGGCGGAAUUUCCGGUGUAGCAGUGAAAUGCGUAGAUAUCGGAAGGAACAUCAGUGGCGAAGGCGGCCUCCUGGACCAAUACUGACGCUCAGGUGCGAAAGCGUGGGGAGCAAACAGGAUUAGAUACCCUGGCAGUCCACGCCCUAAACGAUGAGAACUGGAUGUCGGGAGGGUUUGCCUUCCGGUGUCGUAGCUAACGCGAUAAGUUCUCCGCCUGGGAAGUACGGCCGCAAGGU